rnacentral:rRNA from 1 species
AUUGAACGCUGGCGGCAUGCUUUACACAUGCAAGUCGAACGGCAGCGCGGGCUUCGGCCUGGCGGCGAGUGGCGAACGGGUGAGUAAUGCAUCGGAACGUGCCCAGUAGUGGGGGAUAGCCCGGCGAAAGCCGGAUUAAUACCGCAUACGACCUGAGGGUGAAAGCGGGGGACCGAAAGGCCUCACGCUAUUGGAGCGGCCGAUGUCGGAUUAGCUAGUUGGUGGGGUAAAGGCUUACCAAGGCGACGAUCCGUAGCUGGUCUGAGAGGACGACCAGCCACACUGGGACUGAGACACGGCCCAGACUCCUACGGGAGGCAGCAGUGGGGAAUUUUGGACAAUGGGGGCAACCCUGAUCCAGCCAUGCCGCGUGCGGGAAGAAGGCCUUCGGGUUGUAAACCGCUUUUGUUCGGGAAGAAAUCCUCUGGGCUAAUACCCCGGGGGGAUGACGGUACCGGAAGAAUAAGCACCGGCUAACUACGU